rnacentral:tRNA from 1 species
UCCCUGAAGGUCCAGUGAUUAGGACACUGCUCUUCCAAUGCAGAAGCCAUGGGUUCAAUCCCUAGUUAGGGAA